rnacentral:rRNA from 1 species
GAUGAACGCUAGCGGCAGGCCUAAUACAUGCAAGUCGGACGGGAUCGGGGAGCUUGCUCCCCGUGGGAGUGGCGCACGGGUGCGUAACACGUAUGUAACCUACCUUUAUCAGGGGGAUAGCCUCUCGAAAGAGAGAUUAACACCGCAUAACAUCACAUGAUAGCAUUAUCGAGUGAUCAAAUAUUCAUAGGAUAAAGAUGGGCAUGCGGGACAUUAGCUAGUUGGCGGGGUAACGGCCCACCAAGGCGACGAUGUCUAGGGGAUCUGAGAGGAUGACCCCCCACACUGGUACUGAGACACGGACCAGACUCCUACGGGAGGCAGCAGUAAGGAAUAUUGGUCAAUGGACGCAAGUCUGAACCAGCCAUGCCGCGUGCAGGAGGACGGCCCUACGGGUUGUAAACUGCUUUUGUACCGGAAUAAACCCUUUUACGUGUAAGAGGCUGAAUGUACGGUAAGAAUAAGGAUCGGCUAACUCCGUGCCAGCCGCCGCCGUAACAC